rnacentral:lncRNA from 1 species
UUCUUUACUUCAUCAAAAGAAGAGAUAACCUAUUAUAUUAGUUACUUCGUGAGAGAUUUGAUCAUUCAUGAAUAGGCUUACUUAUAUUUUUCUUCAUUUUUUUAGGCAGUGGAACAGUUCUUUCAGCAUUUCUCAGUCAAGAGGAGUCAUUUUGCAAUGGUGAAAUAAGAUCAUGCAUGUAGUUUUCAGGCUACAUGAUGUUGUGUGGUGAAUCAUCCAAAAAGCUAUGUAUUUUUGGAGGAUACAACACGAGGGUGGCAAUAUUUUUGAAAGGUUUGAGGGUGGCAAGAUAAAUUUUAGAAUAACCAG